CCCUUUCAUUACAACAUUAGGCCAAGCUCUCCUUUGCCUGCUUGUGUGUGUGUGUGUAUAUAUAUUUGUCCUCCAGCUCCUACCACUCUUUAAAGCUGAAGCAACCACUGAAUCAAAGCCUUUGCUCCAUGGACAACUUCAAUAAACAAGCUCCUCCACCAGGUUAUCCAACUGAGAAGUCAUCACCACCUAAGAAGAAAUGCUGGCCGCAAUCCAAAAAGAAGGGCGAGAGAGGGUUCAUUGAAGGAUGUCUUGCUGCACUUUGCUGCUGCUGGUUAUGUGAAGUUUGCUGCUACUGAAGGUGGGGAUACUUCGACAAGAGGAAGGAGAUCACAAAGACAUUACUACAUGGACUUACUGGCUAUAUGGGAUAACUUUGUUUUAAUCUUGUCUCUCAUAUGAAGACUAUCACUAGUGUGUGAUAUAUGUUCUCUGUAUUGGGUUACUUUGCAAUGCUACUUGCUGUUUAAUGCCACAAUGAUAUUAUGAUAAUAAUUCAUUAUUUUGUUGC